GCAGUUCGACACAUUUUCAUUUGGUGGCGCUGUGGCUCCUGUGUGGCCGCACUGAUUGAAAGACUGGAAAUGGAGAGAAACGCAAAACUCAAUCCACUGGCAUCAGAUCCGGUGUAUGUCUAGCUGUGCAUCAUGGAAAGAAAUAUGUCAAAACUUGAGGCAUCAGCCAAGUACAGGCAUGAAAAUGACUGGAAACACAAGCAAACAAACAAGCAAAGGACAAAGGACCAAUUCAGAGAAGCAGCUGUUUGGACUCUCAUUCUGACGGCACCCAUUCACUACAGAGGAUCCAUCUGUUUGGUUGAAGAAACAAGCUCACAUAUAUCUUGGAUUACCUGAGGAUGAGUAAAGUUUCAGCAAAUUUGGGGUAAACUAUUCUGCCUUAGAUGAAUAAAAGUAUUUUUUAAAGGAAAAAUAAAAUCUUACUGACUCCAAAAACAAACAACAUUUUCUUUUACUUUUGCCUGUCAUCCAAAAGUCUUUUCUCGUGUACGGUAGUCCCGUCAGAACAAAUAGGUGCAUUACUGCAGUGCAAUUUGGUAAU